rnacentral:rRNA from 1 species
UACGUAGGUGGCAAGCGUUGUCCGGAUUUACUGGGCGUACAGGGAGCGUAGGCGGUUGGAUAAGCCCUCCGUGAAAUCUCCAGGCUUAACCUGGAAAGUGCAGAGGGGACUGUUCAGCUAGAGGAUGGGAGAGGAGCGCGGAAUUCCCGGUGUAGCGGUGAAAUGCGUAGAGAUCGGGAGGAACACCAGUGGCGAAGGCGGCACUCUGGGCCGGAACUGACGCUGAGGAGCGAAAGCGUGGGGAGCGAACAGG